rnacentral:rRNA from 1 species
AGAGUUUGAUCCUGGCUCAGGAUGAACGCUGGCGGCGUGCCUAAUACAUGUAAGUCGAACGGAAGAUGUAGCAAUAUAUCUUUAGUGGCGAACGGGUGAGUAACGCGUUGGUGACCUGCCCCGAAGAGAGGGAUAACAGACCGAAAGGUUUGCUAAUACCGCGUAAUUUCCUUCUAGUUAGAGAGGAGGGAAGAAAGGCCGAAAGGCGCUUUGGGAGGGGCCUGCGUCCCAUCAGCUAGUUGGCGAGGUAAAAGCUCACCAAGGCGAUGACGGGUAGGGGACCUGAGAGGGUGACCCCCCACAAUGGAACUGAAACACGGUCCAUACACCUACGGGUGGCAGCAGUAGGGAAUAUUGGUUAAUGGGCGAAAGCCCGACCCAGCAACGCCGCGUGCACGAAGAAGGCCUUCGGGUUGUAAAGUGCUUUUUAGUGGGAUGAGGAAGGACAGUACCACUAGAAUAAGUCUCGGCUAACUACGUGCCAGCAGCCGCGGUAACACGUAGGAGACGAGCGUUAUCCGGAUUUACUGGGUGUAAAGCGCGUGCAGGCGGUCGGGUAAGUUGGAUGUGAAAGCUCCUGGCUUAACUGGGAGAGGUCGUUCAAAACUGCCGGGCUAGAGUGCAACAGAGGGGAGUGGAAUUCCGAGUGUAGCGGUAAAAUGCAUAGAUAUUCGGAAGAACACCAGUGGCGAAGGCGGCUCUCUGGGUUGCAACUGACGCUCAGACGCGAAAGCUAGGGUAGCGAACGGGAUUAGAGACCCCGGUAGUCCUAGCCGUAAACGAUGUGGACUUGGCGUGGGUGGGUUGAAAUCCAUCUGUGCCGAAGCAAACGCGAUAAGUCCACCACCUGGGGACUACGGCCGCAAGGUUAAAACUCAAAGGAAUUGACAGGGGCCCGCACAAGCAGCGGAGCGUGUGGUUUAAUUCGAUUUUACACGAAGAACCUUACCAGGGUUUGACAUGCAAGUGGUAGAGAAGCGAAAGUGGAUCGACCCUUCGGGGAGCUUGCACAGGUGUUGCAUGGCUGUCGUCAGCUCGUGUCGUGAGAUGUUCGGUUAAGUCCGCUAACGAGCGCAACCCACGUCGUGUGUUACAAGUGUCACACGAGACUGCCGGUCUUAAGCCGGAGGAAGGUGUGGAUGACGUCAAGUCAGCAUGACCUUUAUGUCCUGGGCUACACACACGCUACAAUGGCCGGUACAG